GCGGCGGAGCAUGCGAUUAAUUCGAUGCAACGCGAAGAACCUUACCAAGGCUUGACGUACACCGGUAACGCCCAGAGAUGGUGCCCCUUUGUGGUCGGUGGACAGGUUGGUGCAUGGGUUGUCGUCAGCUCGUGUCGUGAGAUGUUGGGUUAAGUCCCGCAACGAGCGCAACCCUCGUCCUAUGUUGCCAGCGGGUCAUGCCGGGGACUCAUGGGAGACUGCCGGGGUCAACUCGGAGGAAGGUGGGAUGACGUCAAAUCAUCAUGCCCCUUAUGUCUUGGGCUUCACGCAUGCUACAAUGGCCGGUACAGAGGGCUGCGAAGCCGCGAGGUGGAGCGAAUCCCAGAAAACCUGUCUCAGUCCGGAUUGAAGUCUGCAACUCGACUUCAUGAAGGCGGAAUCGCUAGUAACCGCGAAUCAGCAGGUCGCGGUGAAUACGUUCCCGGGCCUU
rnacentral:rRNA from 1 species